UGUAAAAAGAUAUCAGUUGAUUUUAAAAGCUCAAAAGUUUUAACUUGUUUUUCAACUCACUAUAAAAUAUAAAAAAUCAAGUGAAAAUGCGUUUAACAGAAAUUGUUUACCUCUGUUUCUUUAUUUCUUUCGUUGCUUUCUUUGGCCAGGUUGAGGGAGCUCCACGACAGCCUAGAAGACGAGAGGAUUUAAAAAACGGAAGAAAUGGAUAAAGAUAUCUACAUAUGAUUCUAUAUGUUUUGACUUUAUUCUGGGGAAAAACUUUGCUAUUCUUUGAUGUCCAACAAUUUAAUUUGUUCUAUUCAAUAAAAUGUAAAACCUUGAAAUAAAAAAAGCCUGAUUAAAUUAAUUAA